rnacentral:rRNA from 1 species
GACUACUGGGGUAUCUAAUCCUGUUUGAUCCCCACGCUUUCGUGCCUGAGCGUCAGUAGUAGUUUAGUAAGCUGCCUGCGCAAUCGGAGUUCCUCGUGAUAUCUAUGCAUUUCACCGCUACACCACAAAUUCCGCCUACUUCAUCUACACUCAAGGAAACCAGUUUCGAAGGCACUUUUACAGUUAAGCUGCAAAAUUUCACCGCCGACUUAAUCUCCCGCCUGCGCACCCUUUAAACCCAAUAAAUCCGGAUAACGCUCGGAUCCUCCGUAUUACCGCGGCUGCUGGCACGGAGUUAGCCGAUCCUUAUUCGUAAGGUACAUGCAAAAUAGUACACGUACUACACUUUAUUCCCUUACAAAAGAAGUUUACAACCCGUAGGGCCGUCUUCCUUCACGCGACAUGGCUGGUUCAGGCUUGCGCCCAUUGACCAAUAUUCCUCACUGCAGCCCCCCGUAGG